rnacentral:lncRNA from 1 species
AAAAGGAUUAAGCCCUCAGAAGGAGGUUACACACUAAGAAGAACUUCACAUAAAGUGGAAGAUAUAUCCAACCAAACAGAUGAACAAAUCUCAAGAUAGGAACACAGUAUGCAAAAGCAUGAUCAAGUUUGGUGAGACAUGGACAUUUAACAUCAGUUAGAAUGCCAACGUGGCACCUGCUUCUCAUCGGACAGGACGGGCACUGACUGUGCACUGGAAAUUGAGGGUUUUUAUGGGAACAUCUUCAACUUGAAGAGAGAUAAACAACUGCGGUCACUCAAUUCUUAACGUAGUCACUGGAAUAAAAAUGAGGCUCAACAUCUUGACAAGAGAAGACAGUGCCGUGGGGCUGACAAGGAGAGAAAGGUGCUUAACUCUUUAGCACAGAGCAUCAGUGAUUUGCAUGGUACCCAUUCUGCUUCUACAAGAGAGCAGAGCUCAGAAUCACUAAACUUUAGUGAGGGCAAAAAUGAUGUUAGAUAUAAGUCAAGC